rnacentral:rRNA from 1 species
UACGAAGGGUGCAAGCGUUACUCGGAAUUACUGGGCGUAAAGCGUGCGUAGGUGGUUUGUUAAGUCUGCUGUGAAAGCCCCGGGCUCAACCUGGGAAUGGCAGUGGAUACUGGCAAGCUAGAGUGCGGUAGAGGGUAGUGGAAUUCCCGGUGUAGCGGUGAAAUGCGUAGAGAUCGGGAGGAACACCAGUGGCGAAGGCGGCUACCUGGACCAGCACUGGACACUGAGGCACGAAAGCGUGGGGAGCAAACAGG